rnacentral:rRNA from 1 species
ACGCUGGCGGCACGCCUAACACAUGCAAGUCGAACGAAGUAGCAAUACUUAGUGGCAGACGGGUGAGUAACAUGUAGGUAUCUACCCUUUGGCCUGGAAUAACACGAGGAAACUUGUGCUAAUACCGGAUAAGUCUUUACGGAGAAAGCUUUAUGCACCAUUGGAUGAGCCUGCACUUGAUUAGUUUGUUGGUGGGGUAAUGGCCUACCAAGACUGUGAUCAAUAGCUGAUUUGAGAGGAUGAUCAGCCACAUUGGGACUGAGACACGGCCCAAACUCCUACGGGAGGCAGCAGUGGGGAAUCUUGCACAAUGGAGGAAACUCUGAUGCAGCGAUGCCGCGUGAGUGAAGAAGGCCUUUGGGUUGUAAAGCUCUUUCGUCGGGGAAGAAAAUGACUGUACCCGAAUAAGAAGGUCCGGCUAACUUCGUGCCAGCAGCCGCGGUAAUACGAAGGGACCUAGCGUAGUUCGGAAUUACUGGGCUUAAAGAGUUCGUAGGUGGUUGAAAAAGUUGGUGGUGAAAUCCCAGAGCUUAACUCUGGAACUGCCAUCAAAACUUUUCAGCUAGAGUUUGAUAGAGGAAAGCAGAAUUUCUAGUGUAGAGGUGAAAUUCGUAGAUAUUAGAAAGAAUACCAAUUGCGAAGGCAGCUUUCUGGAUCAUUACUGACACUGAGGAACGAAAGCAUGGGUAGCGAAGAGGAUUAGAUACCCUCGUAGUCCAUGCCGUAAACGAUGUGUGUUAGACGUUGGAAAUUUAUUUUCAGUGUCGCAGCGAAAGCGAUAAACACACCGCCUGGGGAGUACGACCGCAAGGUUAAAACUCAAAUGAAUUGACGGGGACCCGCACAAGUAGUGGAGCAUGUGGUUUAAUUCGAAGAUACGCGCAGAACCUUACCAACACUUGACAUGUUCGUCGCGACUUUAAGAGAUUAAAGUUUUCGGUUCGGCCGGACGAAACACAGGUGCUGCAUGGCUGUCGUCAGCUCGUGUCGUGAGAUGUUGGGUUAAGUCCCGCAACGAGCGCAACCCUCACUUUUAGUUGCCAUCAUUAAGUUGGGCACUCUGAAAGAACUGCCAGUGAUAAGCUGGAGGAAGGUGGGGAUGACGUCAAGUCCUCAUGGCCCUUACGUGUUGGGCUACACACGUGCUACAAUGGUAUCUACAACAGGAAGCAAGACGGCGACGUUAAGCAAAUCCUUAAAAGAUACCUCAGUUCGGAUUGCACUCUGCAACUCGAGUGCAUGAAGCUGGAAUUACUAGUAAUCGUGGAUCAGCGUGCCACGGUGAAUGCGUUCCCGGGUCUUGUACACACCGCCCGUCACACCAUGGGAGUUGGUUCUACCUUAAGGCAAGGUUUUAAACCCUUGACCACGGUAUAGUCAGCGACUGGGGUGAAGUCGUAACAAGGUAGCCGUAGGGGAACCUGCGGCUGGAUUACCUCCUUUCU